rnacentral:snRNA from 1 species
GGAUGUGAGGGUGAUCUGACUGCGACAUCUGUCACCCCAUUGAUCGCCAGGGUUGAUUCAGCUGAUCUGGCUGGCUAGGCGGGUGUCCCCUUCCUCCAUCGCCACUCCAUGUGUGUCCCUCCUGGAGCUGCACACUCGGCAGAAGAGGAGGACCAGUCUUUGGUCAAGGGUACACGAAUAGCUGUCUCCCCUGCUAGAACCUCCAAACACGCUUCAAAGAAACAAGCCAAGCUAAGGCCGGCUUUCAUAACUAAGAAUAAGCCUCCAUGUAAGAUUUAUUUGG